UUCCUACGGGAGGCAGCAGUGAGGAAUAUUGGUCAAUGGCCGGAAGGCUGAACCAGCCAAGCCGCGUGAAGGACGAAGGUGCCAAGCAUUGUAAACUUCUUUUGUCAAGGGACAAAAUCAGGCUCGAGAGCCUGACCGAGGGUACUUGAAGAAAAAGCAUCGGCUAACUCCGUGCCAGCAGCCGCGGUAAUACGGAGGAUGCGAGCGUUAUCCGGAUUUAUUGGGUUUAAAGGGUGCGUAGGCGGACUGGAAAGUCAGCGGUAAAAUCGAGAGGCUCAACCUCUUUCCGCCGUUGAAACUGUCGG
rnacentral:rRNA from 1 species